GACGAACGCUGGCGGCGUGCUUAACACAUGCAAGUCGAACGGGAUUUAGUAGACAGAAGCCUCGGCUAAAGAUUACUAAUGAGAGUGGCGAACGGGUGAGUAACGCGUGAGCAACCUUCCUAUGACAGUGGGAUAGCCUCGGGAAACCGGGAUUAAUACCGCAUAAAAUCGUAGAAACACAUGUUUUAACGGUCAAAGAUUUAUCGGUCAUAGAUGGGCUCGCGUCUGAUUAGCUAGUUGGUGAGAUAACAGCCCACCAAGGCGACGAUCAGUAGCCGGUCUGAGAGGAUGACCGGCCACAUUGGAACUGAGACACGGUCCAAACUCCUACGGGAGGCAGCAGUGGGGAAUAUUGCACAAUGGGGGAAACCCUGAUGCAGCGACGCCGCGUGAACGAAGAAGGUAUUCGUAUCGUAAAGUUCUGUCCUAUGGGAAGAUAAUGACAGUACCAUAGAAGAAAGCUCCGGCUAACUACGUG
rnacentral:rRNA from 1 species